rnacentral:antisense_RNA from 1 species
UGUUAUGGCGGCUGUGCGCAGGGCAUCUUCGGGUGCGCCGGGUACCUGUGUCCGGUCUGUCAACCUACGUACAGCUGCCACCCUA